GAAACUUACUCAAAUCAAUAUCUGACAACAGAGGAGCUCUCAUAAACUCAUCAGAACUGCUGUCUGAAGAUUCAAAUUUCUCUUUCCGACUUGAAUUAGGGGCUGUAUUCUCAAAAUUGUUUACUUCGCUUUGAGGUGAACGUGAACACCUCUUCAUGGAUCUUCGUAACAUCAUUCCAAUAUAAGAACUAAUAAUCACCCAUAGGCAAAAGCAAAACUUUCACAUACAAUCCUUGACAAUACAGUGGUAAUGUGUUAACUUUCUUCAAAAUACAAGUUCACAAAACAGUUCAUCCAUUGCAAAACCUGCAACUGUAAUUCGUACGCAUGAUGACAACAUAAUAAAAUAUUGUUUUCAUUUCAUUCAGAUGUAAAGUUUAGUUGUAGGCCACGUUGUUCAAACAACUUUCAAUCUUCCCAGACCAUUACAUGAGUCAAAUUCAAAAUAAGUAAAGUCACCCUCGAACAAAGAAGCACCUUCUAGAAAUGGCUCGCAAAAUACUAAUACCACCAAUGGAUUUGUACUGAAAAAUCAGCUGUAUAGUAUGGUAUGUAAAUUGACCUCAAAUUCAGAAAUAUUAGGAAACUUGAAAGUGUACACAUGUUCAUUUCGCGUACAGAACUGUACGAUUAAAAAUAUUAUUUCAUAACGUAA